GAUGAACGCUGGCGGCAGGCCUAACACAUGCAAGUCGAACGCACCGCAAGGUGAGUGGCGCACGGGUGAGUAACACGUGGGAAUGUACCCUUUGGUUCGGAAUAACGUCUGGAAACGGACGCUAAUACCGGAUGAGCCCUACGGGGGAAAGAUUUAUCGCCAAAGGAGCAGCCCGCGUCUGAUUAGGUAGUUGGUGGGGUAAAGGCCUACCAAGCCGACGAUCAGUAGCUGGUCUGAGAGGAUGAUCAGCCACACUGGGACUGAGACACGGCCCAGACUCCUACGGGAGGCAGCAGUGGGGAAUAUUGGACAAUGGGCGGAAGCCUGAUCCAGCCAUGCCGCGUGAGUGAUGAAGGCCUUCGGGUUGUAAAGCUCUUUCGCACGCGACGAUGAUGACGGUAGCGUGAGAAGAAGCCCCGGCUAACUUCGUGCCAGCCGCCGCUGUAAAAC
rnacentral:rRNA from 1 species